rnacentral:lncRNA from 1 species
UUCCAAAAAGUGCUUAUGUUUGGUUGACCAUCCACUUUCCUAGGAAAGUUAUGUAUAAUUCCUAUUAUGCCCUUAAUAAAAAUUAGGUCUUUAAUGCCUCUUUAAUGCCUCUUUAAUGCCUCUUUAAUGCUGAAGGGUUUUUUUGGGAAAAAAUAAAAAAGGAGUGAUUCCCACCUCAUGGGAAAGUAACUUUCCCAUGUUUCUCAUGGGAAAGACUUUCCCAUGAAAUGUGGGAAUCAUAUUCCCAUGGGAAUACAACUUUUCCAUCUCUCUCCUUUGAAAACUCCAACCAAACAAGAGGCAUUUCAUUACUUUCCCGUUGACCACACUUUCCCUCUUCGUUUUCCUGCGAACCAAACGAGCCC